AAAAUUGGAGCCAUCAUGGAUAUAGAGCCAAGAUGGGAGUUACCCAGUGGAUUCAGGAUCCAGCUGGAGCAGAGGAAACGGAAGAGUAACACUUGUUGCUUGAGAUCCCACAGAAAACAGAGUGAGGGGAUAGAAAUAACCUGGCUUUUAUUUUACUCUUGCCCUCUAGGCUUUUGUCAGUGCAAUCCACUGGCUGAAAUGGUCUGGAAGCCAGAAUGGAAGGAAACAAGAGAAGGCACGGAAUAAAUCUGAGAGCAAACAAGCCAGGGAACAAGAUGGUGACCAAAAGGCAGUUGGAUGUGCUAGUUUGUACUUCAGGGUGCUGUGGUCCUAAUGCUUGUGCCCCCAAUUCAUAUGUUAAAACCAUAACCUCCAAAGUGAUGGUGUUAGGAGGUAGGACCUCUGGGAGGUGCUUAGGUUAUGAGGGUAGAGCUCUUGUUAUUGGGAUUAGUGCUCUUAUAAAAGGGACACUAGAGGACUUUCUAGCCCCUUCCACCAUGUGAUGACACAGUGAGAAGUCAGCCAUCUGCAACCUGAUUGAGGGCCUUCACCAGAACCCUGCCAAGCUAACAUCCUUAUCUAAGAUUUCCCAGCCUCUGGAACUGUGAGAAAUAAAAUUAUGUUGUUUAUAAGCCACCCAGUCUAUGGAAUUUUGUUAUAGCAGCUGGAAUGGACCAAGCGAAUAUAUAAAUUUGAAUUUUUAAAUUAAAAGCAUUUUUUAAAGCUAUGGAACUCAAUUAGCUACCCUAGGGAGUGUGUAGAAAAAAAUGAAGAGAAACGUCUGAGAACAGAAACCCGGGCCCUCCAGUGUUAAAAGAAUGUGUAGGAAUUAGCAAAGGACACAAAGAAGGCGUGCCCAGUGAGCUAGGAGGAGAUCUGAGAGAACUGUGUCCUGGAAGCUACAUAGAGGAUUUAUUUAAAGAAGAUAGUGAUCGGCCAUGUGAAAUGCUGCUCGCAGGUCAAGUAAGAAGAGAGCUGAAAGUUGAGUCACUGGCUUCAGCAAUAUCGGUGUCACUGGUGAUCUUAAUUACAGGGCCAGGACUAGGGUAAGCCAAGUGAGGUACUUGCCUUGGUUGCUAAAAAUCUCAGUAUUUUAACUCAAUUAAAUGAUACCUUAAUACAAUAUUUUUAAAAAUUAAUGCAAAAUUCACAAUGAAUGCAAUAUUCAAAGUUUAAAUAAUGACAGAACUGGUAAUAGUACCAUGCUGAGCCAUAUUGGAGUCUGAGGCAAAAGGAAACAUCAAAAAUAUUGAGCUUGUCUUUAUUUAAACAUUUGAUGAGUUCAUUGUGACCUUUGGCAUUAAUUUUGACUUCUAAAAUAUUGCUUGAAAAUUAUUCAUCUUCAUAGAUGAGUGUUUUUUUUUUGUGGUACGCGGGUCUCUCACUGUUGUGGUCUUUCCCGUUGCGGAGCACAGGCUCGGGACUCGCAGGCUCAGCGGCCAUGGCUCACGGGCCCAGCUGCUGCACGGCAUGCGGGAUCUUCCCGGACCGUGGCACGAACCCGUGUCCCCUUCAUCGCCAGGCGGACUCUCAACCACUGCGCCACCAGGGAAGCCACAUAGAUGAGUUUUUAUUGCCUCUUGAAUUUUGUGCCCAACACAAGAGAUGAGGGUGAAAACUUAGUUGGAGACUGGGGAGCGUAGUGUUGGUGGACUGAAGAGAGAGAAGAGUGAAUGGAUCAGGAAAGGGCCGGAUGAUUCCUCCUUCAGCCUAGGUCCAUGAGUAAGAAGAGACAUGGAGCAGAUGUUCAACCUGGAACCAACCCACAGUUAUCAAAGUUCUUUCACAUAAAUCUCCACUUCUAAUGAACUGGUGAGAUAGAGCCAACAAGAAUAGAUUUACAUAAAGGACCAUGAGAACAUCCUGGGAAAGAACUCAAGACAGAAGAAGAGAAUCAAGACCCAAGCUGGAGACCUCAGAAGGCUGGUGAUGUAAUUCUAGUCUGAGUCUGAAGGCUAGAGAAUCAGGGGAACUGCUGAUGGUGUAAGUCCCAGACCAAGGACAGAAGAUCAAUGUCUCUGCUCAUGCAGGCAGAGAAAAACCUACAUGAGUACACAGUAGGAUGGAGGCUGUCUAUAAGCCAGGAAGAAGGCUUUCACCAGAAACCAAAUUUGCAAGAACCUUGAUCAUGGACUUCUAGCUGCCGUAACAGUG